GGAAGGUUGGCCGAGUGGCUGAAGGCGCACGCUUGGAAAGCGUGUAUACGUUAAUCGCGUAUCAUGGGUUCGAAUCCCAUAUCUUCCGCCA
rnacentral:tRNA from 1 species